rnacentral:rRNA from 1 species
AAAAGCUCGUAGUUGGAUCUCAGCUCCGGCCGGACGGUCCACCUACCGGUGGUUACUGUUCGCAGCCGAGCGUUUCGGCGGUUAUUCUUGAUGAUCUUCACCGGUUGUCUCGGGUGACCGCCAAGUUUACUUUGAAAAAAUUAGAGUGCUCAAAGCAGACGCGAUGUCUGAAUAAUUGUGCAUGGAAUAAUGGAAUAGGACCUCGGUUCUAUUUUGUUGGUUUUCGGAACACGAGGUAAUGAUUAAGAGGGACAGACGGGGGCAUUCGUAUUGCGACGCUAGAGGUGAAAUUCUUGGACCGUCGCAAGACGAACUACUGCGAAAGCAUUUGCCAAGAAUGUUUCCAUUAAUCAAGAACGAAAGUCAGAGGUUCGAAGGCGAUCAGAUACCGCCCUAGUUCUGACCAUAAACGAUGCCAGCCAGCAAUCCGCCUGUGUUCCUCAAAUGACACGGCGGGCGGCUUCCGGGAAACCAAAGCUUUUGGGUUCCGGGGGAAGUAUGGUUGCAAAGCUGAAACUUAAAGGAAUUGACGGAAGGGCACCACCAGAAAUGGAGCAUGCGGCUUAAUUUGACUCAACACGGGGAAACUUACCCGGCCCGGACACAGGAAGGAUUGACAGAUUAAGAGCUCUUUCUUGAUUCUGUGGGUGGUGGUGCAUGGCCGUUCUUAGUUGGUGGGGCGACUUGUCUGGUUAAUUCCGAUAACGAACGAGACUCUAGCCUACUAAAUAGACGUUCCUAUCCUCUUGAGUAGGACGCUCUUCUUAGAGGGACAAGCGGCGUUUAGCCGCACGAGACAGAGCAAUAACAGGUCUGGUAUGCCCUUAGAUGUCCGGGGCCGCACGCGCGCUACAUUGAAGGAAUCAGCGUGUGCUUUCCCUGUCCGAAAGGACUGGGUAACCCGUUGAACCUCCUUCGUGCUGGGGAUUGGCGCUUGUAAUUUCUCGCCAUGAACGAGGAAUUCCCAGUAAGCACGAGUCAUCAGCUCGUGUUGAUUACGUCCCUGCCCUUUGUACACACCGCCCGUCGCUACUACCGAUUGAAUGAUUUAGUGAGGUCUUCGGACUGGCGCUCGGAUUGGCCUUCGCGGUCGAGCCGGUGUGCCGGAAAGAUGCCCAAACUUGAUCAUUUAGAGGAAAGUAAAAGUCGUAACAAGGUUUUU